rnacentral:lncRNA from 10 species
GGAACAUUGCGACACUUGCAAGUUCUCCCUAGUUGUUAAGAUAGAAAGGCACUGUUCAUGAGGGGAAUCCUUUGGAAGUCCUGUCUUGCUGACAGAUAGGUCCCUUUGGAACAGAUUGGAGGUCUUCUCCCCACAGCAGAGGAAAAACAACAACAGCAACAACAAUACAAAAUGACAACAGAAAAAGCAAGGUCUCCCUAUCCUUGGGGCACAACAAUAUUGAAAUAUGUACCAAUUAAUAACCCUACAAUGGUCUCACAUGUUCAAGUAGAAUAAAAGAGACGCACAUGUCUCACUUUCAAUUAAAAGCUAGAAAUGAUUAAGCUUUGUGAGAAAGUCAUGCCAAAAGCCAGCAUAGGCAAAAUAUUAGGCCUUUCAGGCCGGUUAACACAGUUGUGAAUGCAAACAAAAAGUUUUUGAAGGAAAUUAAAAGUGCUACUACAGGGAACACACAAAUGACAAGAAAACAAAAAAAAAAUCAGUUUUAUUGCUGAUAUGGAGAAAGUGGAUAGAACCUCAAAUUAGCCACAGCAUUCCUUAAGCCAAAACCUAAUCCAAAGCAAGGCCCACAGUCUUCCAAUUUUUUGAAAGCUAAGAGGUGAGGAAGCUGCAGAAGAAAAGUUGGAAGCUAGCAAAGACUAGUUUGGAAGGUUUAAGGAAAAAAUACAUCUCCAUAAAAUAAAAUUACAGGGUAAAUCAGCAAGUACUGAUGUAGAAGCUAAAGCAAGUUAUCCAGAAGAUCUAGCUAACAUUAUAGAUGAAGGCAACUACACUAAAUGACAGAUUUUCAAUGUAGAUGAAAAAGCCUUAUGUUGGAAGAAGAUGUCAUCUAUAACUUUCAUAGAUAGAGGAAGUCAAUGCCUAGCUUCAAAGGAAAGGCUGACUCUCAAGAGCUAAUGUAGCUGGUGACUUGAAGUUGAAGCCAGUGCUCAUUUACCAUUCCAAAAAUGCUAGAGCACUUAAAAAUUAUACUAAAUUGGGCUGGGCAUGGUGGCU